rnacentral:rRNA from 1 species
GACGAACGCUGGCGGCGUGCCUAAUACAUGCAAGUAGAACGCUGAAGAGAGGAGCUUGCUCUUCUUGGUUGAGUUGCGAACGGGUGAGUAACGCGUAGGUAACCUGCCUUGUAGCGGGGGAUAACUAUUGGAAACGAUAGCUAAUACCGCAUAACAAUGGAUGACACAUGUCAUUUAUUUGAAAGGGGCAAUUGCUCCACUACAAGAUGGACCUGCGUUGUAUUAGCUAGUAGGUGAGGUAAUGGCUCACCUAGGCGACGAUACAUAGCCGACCUGAGAGGGUGAUCGGCCACACUGGGACUGGGACACGGCCCAGACUCCUACGAGAGGCAGCAGUAGGGAAUCUUCGGCAAUGGGGGCAACCCUGAACGAGCAACGCCGCGUGAGUGAAGAAGGUUUUCGGAUCGUAAAGCUCUGUUGUAAGUCAAGAACGGGAGUGAGAGUGGAAAGUUCACACUGUGACGGUAGCUUAACAGAAAGGGACGGCUAACUACGUG